GAAUAGUAACUCAUGAAUAGUAACUCGUGAAUAGUAACUCAUGAAUAGUAACCCCGACAUAAAAAAUUCCAAAUUUGAUAAAAAUUCCAACCAAUAUUUCGGCAUAAUGAUAUUGAAGAAAUAAUAUCAUUUUUGAAGAAAAUAACACCCCUUACCUCGAAAGACAGUACUUCUAGUUGAAACACCGGAUAUAGGCUAUGACUUGAACUUGCACCGUAUAGCAAUACUCAAAGUAUACUCAAAGUACUCACAAGAAUAUGUUUGAUAAUAUAGAGAGAGAAAACUUCAGUUU
rnacentral:lncRNA from 1 species